ensembl:lncRNA
GUGCCGCGUCCCGCGAGGGUCCCAGUUUGGCUGGGAGCUGAGCAGAUGCCGGGGCUACUCGGCCGCCCCGGGCGGCAGCCGAUUCGACCUCCACAGAGAGCUCGGGGCCGCAGUCCGGGAGACACGCCCCUCCUCCCCGCGGCCCACGGGACCCCCGCCGCCGUCCCCGCCGCCCCAGGGACGAGCCCAGCGGUGCGGAGAGGUGGGAGGCUGGAGCCUGCUGAGGUCAUUUCCUGUGCCUCUCCGCGAGCCGCCCCGGGAGCCGAGCCCGGCGCUCUGCCUUUAAGGAGCGGGCGGGGAGCGGACGAGGAGGAGGCGCGGCGGAGCGUUGAAUGGGGCGCUGCGAGGUCGCCUCGGCUUUGUGCGGCCAGCUGGCGGGCACCCCUCCCGGGCCAGCCCGGCCCGCUCCGCCCACCCCGACCCCUGCUGCCGAGGAGCGGAGACCCGGCGGCCGCUGCGGACUCGGACGAGAUUGACGCAAGGUCAGCGGCGGACGCGCGCGGGGGAGGACCGGGUGCCUGGUGCGCUGCAGGGACGCCAGCGAGCGGGCUGGAGGUGAGCGGCCCCGCGGGUAGAGGUGGGGUUGGUGCAGGGGGGUGGGUGGAGGGUUGGUUCGCGGGCCCGGGAGGGUGUUUGGUUGGGCGGAGAGGAUCGGCUCCUUCUGGCCGGAGGGCGAUUCCGGAGCAGGUGCCUCCCUACCUGGAAACGAGCUCCCAGCAGCCAGGAGCGCUGGGAGCGGCGGGUUAGGUUCUGGGAGCCCGCACUGAGAGGCGAGGAGUAGCCUUCCUGGAGAGGAUCCGGAAUUUGGGACCGGCUCUAUCCAGUUGCUCCGGGAAGGGCCCCCGGAGCGAACUUGCAGGCUUUCCACCGCGUUGCCUGAGCUCUCGCUAGCUCUCACUCCUCCCGCUUUCCUUGAAGUCUCAUCUCGGGUUGUCUCUUCUGUGAUUUCUGCGUGGUUCUCUUAGGGGUCCUAGGCUAGACUCCUAGAGGCAGGUCAGCCAAACAGAAAAGAAAACCAGUUGGGUGCCGAAUGACACCAGGAGCUCUGCGUCCUAGGAGCUUUAGAGAGGAAUCGAUUACCGGGGCGCAGGGGGACCUUAAUCGAGGUAGCAGACGCCAUGAAGACCCUCAUCUGGGAGUAGAUCCGCUCUCUGUUGGAUCUGGCCCUGCCAGGGGACGUCUUCUCCAUAAGCUUUUACUAUGAGUACACCUCAUAAAACGCUUCCGGACAGAGCCUUAGUUCCAGCUGAAACUUCUGCUUGAAAGAUCAUUUUAAUAGCAAUUUCAAUGGAAAAGACAUUCGUUCCUUCAUUAAACUUUUUGGACUGUCUUCUAUGCCUCAGGCACUGUGUACGGUAACAUCACUUAACACUUUAUAGAACUUGGGGCUUCCCUGGUGGCGCAGUGGUUGAGAGUCCGCCUGCCGAUGCAGGGGACACGGGUUCGUGCCUCAGUCCGGGAAGAUCCCACAUGCCGCGGAGCGGCUGGGCCCGUGAGCCAUGGCCGCUGAGUCCGCGCGUCUGGAGCCUGUCCUCUGCAACGGGAGAGGCCGCAACAGUGAGAGGCCCGCGUACUG